UCAAGAUAAGAUUUCCCACCGCAAGGGUAAGACCCCAGAAAGACUAGCUGGUUGAUAGGUCGAAGGUGUAAGUGCAGCAAUGUAUUUAGCUUAUCGAUACUAAUAGGUCGAGGACUUGACCAAUAUUUAUU
rnacentral:rRNA from 1 species